AAUGAACGCUGGCGGCAUGCCUAACACAUGCAAGUCGAACGAGACCUUCGGGUCUAGUGGUGUACGGGAGCGUAAGGCGUGGGAAUGUGCCCUUAGGUUCGGAAUAACUCCCGGAAAGGGGUGCUAAUACCGGCUAAUGUCUCCGGACCAAUGAUUUAUCGCCUUUGGAUGGGCCCGCGUAGGAUUAGCCAGUUGGUAGGGUAAAGGCCUACCAAGGCGACGAUCCAUAGCUGGUCUGGGAGGAGGGUCAGCCACACUGGGAGUGGGACACGGCCCAGACUCCUACGGGGGGGGGCAGAGGGGAAUAUUGGACAAGGGGCGAAAGGCUGAUCCAGCUGUGGCGCGUGAGGGAUGUGGGCCUGAGGGUUGUAGGGCUCUUUUAGCCGGGGUGAUAAUGAGGGUACCGGGAGAAUAAGCGCGGGCUAGCUCCGUG
rnacentral:rRNA from 1 species